GCCCUGGUAGUAUAAGUUAAUACACUGGUCUUGUAAACCGGAAAUGGAAACUUCUCCCCAGGACA
rnacentral:tRNA from 1 species